rnacentral:tRNA from 1 species
GCCCUUGUAGCUCAGUUGGUAGAGCACCUGAUUUGUAAUCAGGGGGUCGCGGUUCGAACCCUGCCGGGGGCA